rnacentral:rRNA from 1 species
UCAGGAUGAACGCUAGCGGCAGGCUUAACACAUGCGAAGUCGAGGGCAGCGCGGGGUAGCAAGUACUCGUGGCGGCGACCGGCGGAAGGGUGCGUAACGCGUGAGCAACAUGCCCGUAUCAGGGGGAUAACCGAUGGAAACGUCGCCUAAUACCCCAUAACACUAUGGAGGACAUCCUCUGGAGUUGAAAGUUACGGCGGAUACGGAUUGGCUCGCGUGACAUUAGCUAGUUGGCGGGUAACGGCCCACCAAGGCGACGAUGUCUAGGGGUUCUGAGAGGAAGGUCCCCACACUGGAACUGAGACACGGUCCAGACUCCUACGGGAGGCAGCAGUGAGGAAUAUUGGUCAAUGGGCGGAAGCCUGAACCAGCCAUGCCGCGUGAUGGAAGGAGGCCCUAUGGGUCGUAAACUAUCUUUUGUGCGGGAGCAAUAAGGUCUACGCGUAGACCGAUGAGAGUACCGUACGAAUAAGCAUCGGCUAACUCCGUGCC